rnacentral:rRNA from 1 species
AAAUUGAAGAGUUUGAUCAUGGCUCAGAUUGAACGCUGGCGGCAGGCCUAACACAUGCAAGUCGAGCGGUAGCACAGAGAGCUUGCUCUCGGGUGACGAGCGGCGGACGGGUGAGUAAUGUCUGGGAAACUGCCUGAUGGAGGGGGAUAACUACUGGAAACGGUAGCUAAUACCGCAUAACGUCGCAAGACCAAAGUGGGGGACCUUCGGGCCUCAUGCCAUCAGAUGUGCCCAGAUGGGAUUAGCUAGUAGGUGGGGUAACGGCUCACCUAGGCGACGAUCCCUAGCUGGUCUGAGAGGAUGACAAGCCACACUGGAACUGAGACACGGUCCAGACUCCUACGGGAGGCAGCAGUGGGGAAUAUUGCACAAUGGGCGCAAGCCUGAUGCAGCCAUGCCGCGUGUGUGAAGAAGGCCUUCGGGUUGUAAAGCACUUUCAGCGGGGAGGAAGGCGUUAAGGUUAAUAACCUUGGCGAUUGACGUUACCCGCAGAAGAAGCACCGGCUAACUCCGUGCCAGCAGCCGCGGUAAUACGGAGGGUGCAAGCGUUAAUCGGAAUUACUGGGCGUAAAGCGCACGCAGGCGGUCUGUCAAGUCGGAUGUGAAAUCCCCGGGCUCAACCUGGGAACUGCAUUCGAAACUGGCAGGCUAGAGUCUUGUAGAGGGGGGUAGAAUUCCAGGUGUAGCGGUGAAAUGCGUAGAGAUCUGGAGGAAUACCGGUGGCGAAGGCGGCCCCCUGGACAAAGACUGACGCUCAGGUGCGAAAGCGUGGGGAGCAAACAGGAUUAGAUACCCUGGUAGUCCACGCCGUAAACGAUGUCGAUUUGGAGGUUGUGCCCUUGAGGCGUGGCUUCCGGAGCUAACGCGUUAAAUCGACCGCCUGGGGAGUACGGCCGCAAGGUUAAAACUCAAAUGAAUUGACGGGGGCCCGCACAAGCGGUGGAGCAUGUGGUUUAAUUCGAUGCAACGCGAAGAACCUUACCUGGUCUUGACAUCCACAGAACUUUCCAGAGAUGGAUUGGUGCCUUCGGGAACUGUGAGACAGGUGCUGCAUGGCUGUCGUCAGCUCGUGUUGUGAAAUGUUGGGUUAAGUCCCGCAACGAGCGCAACCCUUAUCCUUUGUUGCCAGCGGUUAGGCCGGGAACUCAAAGGAGACUGCCAGUGAUAAACUGGAGGAAGGUGGGGAUGACGUCAAGUCAUCAUGGCCCUUACGACCAGGGCUACACACGUGCUACAAUGGCAUAUACAAAGAGAAGCGACCUCGCGAGAGCAAGCGGACCUCAUAAAGUAUGUCGUAGUCCGGAUUGGAGUCUGCAACUCGACUCCAUGAAGUCGGAAUCGCUAGUAAUCGUAGAUCAGAAUGCUACGGUGAAUACGUUCCCGGGCCUUGUACACACCGCCCGUCACACCAUGGGAGUGGGUUGCAAAAGAAGUAGGUAGCUUAACCUUCGGGAGGGCGCUUACCACUUUGUGAUUCAUGACUGGGGUGAAGUCGUAACAAGGUAACCGUAGGGGAACCUGCGGUUGGAUCACCUCCUUACCUUAAAGAA